GCCGCCAUGGCGAAACCGGUAGACGCAACGGACUUAAAAUCCGUUUGGGGAAACUCAGUGUGGGUUCGAGUCCCACUGGCGGCA
rnacentral:tRNA from 2 species